GAUGAACGCUGGCGGCGUGCCUAAUACAUGCAAGUCGAGCGAACAGAUGAGGAGCUUGCUCCUCUGACGUUAGCGGCGGACGGGUGAGUAACACGUGGAUAACCUACCUAUAAGACUGGGAUAACUUCGGGAAACCGGAGCUAAUACCGGAUAAUAUCUUGAACCGCAUGGUUCAUUAGUGAAAGACGGUUUUGCUGUCACUUAUAGAUGGAUCCGCGCCGCAUUAGCUAGUUGGUAAGUUAACGGCUUACCAAGGCAACGAUGCGUAGCCGACCUGAGAGGGUGAUCGGCCACACUGGAACUGAGACACGGUCCAGACGCCUACGGGAGGCAGCAGUAGGGAAUCUUCCGCAAUGGGCGAAAGCUUGACGGAGCAACGCCGCGUGAGUGAUGAAGGUCUUCGGAUCGUAAAACUCUGUUAUUAGGGAAGAACAAAUGUGUAAGUAACUAUGCACGUCUUGACGGUACCUAAUCAGAAAGCCACGGCUAACUACGUG
rnacentral:rRNA from 1 species